UACGAAGGGGGCUAGCGUUGCUCGGAAUCACUGGGCGUAAAGGGCGCGUAGGCGGCCAUUCAAGUCAGAGGUGAAAGCCCAAGGCUCAACCUUGGAAUUGCCUUUGAUACUGUUCGGCUUGAGACCGGAAGAGGUAAGUGGAACUGCGAGUGUAGAGGUGAAAUUCGUAGAUAUUCGCAAGAACACCAGUGGCGAAGGCGGCCUGCUGGGCUGUUGCUGACGCUGAGGCGCGACAGCGUGGGGAGCAAACAGG
rnacentral:rRNA from 1 species